CACGUAGGGUGCGAGCGUUGUCCGGAAUUAUUGGGCGUAAAGAGCUCGUAGGCGGCUUGUCGCGUCGACUGUGAAAACCCGCGGCUCAACUGCGGGCUUGCAGUCGAUACGGGCAGACGUUGAGUUCGGUAGGGGGAGACUGGAAUUCCUGGUGUAGCGGUGGAAUGCGCAGAUAUCAGGAGGAACACCGAUGGGCGAAGGCGGCCUGCUGGGCAGUUGCUGACACUGAGGCGCGACAGCGUGGGGGAGCAAACAGGAUUGAGAUA
rnacentral:rRNA from 1 species